rnacentral:rRNA from 1 species
AGAGUUUGAUCCUGGCUCAGAACGAACGCUGGCGGCGUGCUUAACACAUGCAAGUCGCGUGCGCAGUUUCGUAGCAAUACGGGAUGGGCGCACGGCGCACGGGUGCGUAACACGUGGGCAAUCUGCCCUCCGAUGGGGAAUAACCCCGCGAAAGCGGGGCUAAUACCGCAUAACAUUCCUUGGACGAUGGUUCGAGGAUUCAAAGCAGUGAUGCGUCGGAGGAGGAGCCCGCGCCCGAUUAGCUAGUUGGUGAGGUAACGGCUCACCAAGGCAAUGAUCGGUAGCUGGUCUGAGAGGAUGGCCAGCCACACUGGAACUGAGACACGGUCCAGACUCCUACGGGAGGCAGCAGUGGGGAAUCUUGCGCAAUGGGCGAAAGCCUGACGCAGCGACGCCGCGUGGGGGAUGAAGCUUUUCGGAGUGUAAACCCCUUUCGACUGGGACAAAUGCCCGCAAGGGAGUGACGGUACCAGUAGAAGAAGCCCCGGCUAACUACGUGC